UGAGGAAUAUUGGACAAUGGAGGCAACUCUGAUCCAGCCAUGCCGCGUGCAGGAAGACUGCCCUAUGGGUUGUAAACUGCUUUUAUACAGGAAGAAACACCUCUACGUGUAGAGGCUUGACGGUACUGUAGAAAUAAGGAUCGGCUAACUCC
rnacentral:rRNA from 1 species